AUUUAGUUACCUAUGUGAGUUUUCUUUUGUAUAACCAUACAAAUUACGUUGGAAUUCUAUUCUACUUUUUUGUUCUCGUUGUUAUUAUCAUCGUUAUUUGCACUGCCAAAUUUUAAUGCUGUAUACAUAGUAUGAAAGUCAAACAAUUGUUAAUCACAUAAAAAGAGUAAAGAAUAUUGUGAGCUACUAUAAGUUCAAUCACGAAUGAAGCUUAGCAAACAAAGUUUAUGUGGAGUGUUCAGUCGUAAAAUAUAAUAUUUGAAGUUUUAUACAACCGAUACGCAUGGUGUUUUUUUCAAACAAGAUAGUGCUCAGAGUGAAGACAAACCAUUUAAAAAGAAACGUUAAUAAAAAAAAUAUAUUGAGUGGUUAUCGGUGUUUUAUGUAUAGAACAAAGCGACGUGCUGUGUCAACAACGAAACAUUAUUGAGAAUCAAUACAUUAUUGUGAGAGUAUACUGAUCGAAGAGACGUCGAAAACGAGUACCUAUAGGUCUUUAUACAUGUACACCAAGUUUUCAGUAGUCUCUUUUGAUUAUUAUGGAAAUUAUUCUGAAAACUGAAGAUGUAUAUUUAACAAGCAUAAUAUGUACUAUACAAUAUUAUAUAUCGUAAAAUUUAUAAUGUCAGUAUUUAUAAAAAUAAUAAUAUUCAAAUGCGUGUAUCAUACACCAAUGCAAAAGUAUAUUUUUGAUAAUGUGAAAUGAGUUUUUUUUACUAACGGUUAAUCUUAGAAAUAAUCUCAUACCGAUUUAAAUAAGUUAUACCAAUUUCUAUACAAAGAUUCAGUUCCCUUUUAAAACUCUAAUACAGCGAUUGCAUACAUUUCGUUUUAGCUCACGAAAAUCGAAUAAAUGUUUGUGUAUAUAUAACAUAACAUCAUUGCUAUAAGUGACAUAAUCAAUAUGAUUAAAAAAAAAUUGGGUAGAUUAUAGCGGAUUCACCAUUGCUAUGAGAUUGAGAUUUUUUUGAUUUUUCGGUAUUAAAAUUUACAACAAAAGACAAUGCUGUUAUGUUCGUAGCCUAUAGUCUCAAAAACAACUCGACCGAUUUUUAAGAAAGUUUCAGAGGUUGUCCUUAGAGAUAUCAGGAAAGUUUAGAGAGCGAUUUGAACGACAUUGGGAAUUAUGCCAAGUGCUGUAAUAUCCAAUCCACCGAGGCGAAUUGGUCAUCUCGGCAAAAUGAGUUUACAAAGCGAGGUACACCAAUACUGAUUUGUCCGUGAACUGACCACUGAGGUACACUAAAACCGAAAUAAACCUAUGUAUCGCCUUAUUCGAUGUUCUAUCAUUUUUUUUCCCAAGCGAAGUCGAGUUAUACAGCUAGUUCAUAUACGUAUAUAUAUAAGUUUAUAAGUGGUGUGCUAUCGCAUUAUUAAUCAUUCGUACAAAUUCAUCACUAUAAUGGCGUUAUUGGUGUUUCUCUAUUAAGUAUAAUAAUUAAAUUAUUUUAUUUCCAAACUUGUUAUCAAUGUAUCAUUAGUUAUUGAACGUUUUCAUUUAGGUACACCGUCGAUUACAGCCUAAACACAAGUGUAAAUGUAUAGUGUAUUAAUUAUUAUUGAUUAGUGUUAUUGAUACAUUUUAAUUUUCUGAAAAAAUCUUUUUUAAUAAUUUACGGGCGGGAUGCUGAAAAUCAUAUUUAAUGCAUGACUAGGUAUGCAAAAUCGCAACACGAUCAAAUACCGUUUAACUAUCGUGAUUUCAUGACGUGCGAUAAGUUGGUCUAUUUAAAUGUGUAGGUCACAGAAUCAUGUGAAGAUCACAAAAUAUCGUUCACUAAGAAUAAAAGUUUUAAUUGAAUCCUAUAUUCUGGGUAAGUGUGCGAAGGUUUUGAUAACAAAUUGUAUUUCAAAUAGCUCAGUCACUGUUUAAUUUAAAUCCAACAACGUUUUAUUUUUACUAGGAAAAUACAUGAAUAAAUUCAUGGUAAUUUCACACUUUGCAGAAUAAAGACUUAAAUAUAUCUCUAAAAAAUGGUCGUAUAGUUAAAGUUUGUUUAGAAUAGCGUCCUUUUUGCAUUCGGAUUCAAAUCGAAUUUACUUUUCUCUGUACAUAGAGCAAGCACUUAUAUUAAUCAUGAUGAUAAUAUUACAUUAUUUCACUGCAUGGUAUAGUAAAUGAUAAUAUAAAAAUGUAGAUAUUAAUAUUUUUUUUCAUUAAAAUAAAGGCGAGCUACAUGUAAACAAUUUUAGAACUUCUGGCAACUAUUUACUAGGAAUAUACUAUUAAUAGUUACUAUUAUAGUAUAUAAUGUUAAAGUAUAAUCAGGCUAGUAAUAAAAUAUUUAGAUUUUCGUAAAACUGAUUUUUUUUUUUGUAAAAACGCCAUUUUAUGGCUGUUGAAUAACCACGACGUUAAUUUGGUACGCGGAUAGUUCUUUGUGGAUGUCACGAGUACAAUUCUAAGAAUAUAAUGGUUUCGUUACAAUGAACAUCAGAAUCCCAAUAACAAUUAUUUCUCAUUUUUGGGCUUUAUUGUGUAGUCGACAUCCGGAAUAUAAACCCUGGAUAAUGAAUAAUAUGAUGGUGGUAUGGAUGUAUGAUACAUUUCGUGAUUGAAAAGAUGUAGAUAUUUCAUUAAUGUUCUAUGAAAAUGGAAAGAAAAUCAAUAUGGCUCAGCGGAAUCAAAAUAAGAAUGACUACAUGAAUGUUUGCAUAAUAUAUUUGUUUACACAAUAAACGGCAAUACCACACGGGCAGGUAUCUAAGUUUAUUAAAAAUGAGCCAGCUAUAAUAAUACGCCAGAUUGGGUACUGCUCACGCAGCAUCUAUGGAUACUUGAAAUAUAUCUAUUUAGGUACGAAGAUUAUGUCAUACAAUAGUAGAACUAAGGUAGUAAAUAUAAAUAAUUGUAAGCGUUUUUUUUUUUUUUUAAACGUCAUUUUUGUGUAAUG